rnacentral:rRNA from 1 species
UAUAGAUGGAUCCGCGCUGCAUUAGCUAGUUGGUAAGGUAACGGCUUACCAAGGCAACGAUGCAUAGCCGACCUGAGAGGGUGAUCGGCCACACUGGAACUGAGACACGGUCCAGACUCCUACGGGAGGCAGCAGUAGGGAAUCUUCCGCAAUGGGCGAAAGCCUGACGGAGCAACGCCGCGUGAGUGAUGAAGGUCUUCGGAUCGUAAAACUCUGUUAUUAGGGAAGAACAUAUGUGUAAGUAACUGUGCACAUCUUGACGGUACCUAAUCAGAAAGCCACGGCUAACUACGUGCCAGCAGCCGCGGUAAUACGUAGGUGGCAAGCGUUAUCCGGAAUUAUUGGGCGUAAAGCGCGCGUAGGCGGUUUUUUAAGUCUGAUGUGAAAGCCCACGGCUCAACCGUGGAGGGUCAUUGGAAACUGGAAAACUUGAGUGCAGAAGAGGAAAGUGGAAUUCCAUGUGUAGCGGUGAAAUGCGCAGAGAUAUGGAGGAACACCAGUGGCGAAGGCGACUUUCUGGUCUGUAACUGACGCUGAUGUGCGAAAGCGUGGGGAUCAAACAGGAUUAGAUACCCUGGUAGUCCACGCCGUAAACGAUGAGUGCUAAGUGUUAGGGGGUUUCCGCCCCUUAGUGCUGCAGCUAACGCAUUAAGCACUCCGCCUGGGGAGUACGACCGCAAGGUUGAAACUCAAAGGAAUUGACGGGGACCCGCACAAGCGGUGGAGCAUGUGGUUUAAUUCGAAGCAACGCGAAGAACCUUACCAAAUCUUGACAUCCUUUGACAACUCUAGAGAUAGAGCCUUCCCCUUCGGGGGACAAAGUGACAGGUGGUGCAUGGUUGUCGUCAGCUCGUGUCGUGAGAUGUUGGGUUAAGUCCCGCAACGAGCGCAACCCUUAAGCUUAGUUGCCAUCAUUAAGUUGGGCACUCUAAGUUGACUGCCGGUGACAAACCGGAGGAAGGUGGGGAUGACGUCAAAUCAUCAUGCCCCUUAUGAUUUGGGCUACACACGUGCUACAAUGGACAAUACAAAGGGCAGCGAAACCGCGAGGUCAAGCAAAUCCCAUAAAGUUGUUCUCAGUUCGGAUUGUAGUCUGCAACUCGACUACAUGAAGCUGGAAUCGCUAGUAAUCGUAGAUCAGCAUGCUACGGUGAAUACGUUCCCGGGUCUUGUACACACCGCCCGUCACACCACGAGAGUUUGUAACACCCGAAGCCGGUGGAGUAACCUUUUAGGAGCUAGCCGUCGAAGGUGGGACAAAUGAUUGGGGUGAAGUCGUAACAAGGUAGCCGUAUCGGAAGGUGCGGCUGGAUCACCUCCUUU